AGAGUUUGAUCCUGGCUUAGGAUGAACGCUGGCGGCGUGCUUAACACAUGCAAGUUGCGCGGUGAUCUCAAGAAGUUUCGGACGGAAAGGGAGAGCAGCAGCGGACGGGUGAGUAAAGCACAAGGACUUGUCCCGAAGAGGGGGACAACUGUGGGAAACCACAGCUAAUACCCCAUAAGCCGAGAGGUGAAAGCAGUAAUGCGCUUUAGGAGAGACUUGUGUCCUAUCAGGUAGUUGGUGAGGUAACGGCUCACCAAGCCGAAGACGGGUAGCCGGACUGAGAGGUUGUACGGCCACAUUGGAACUGAGAGACGGUCCAGACUCCUACGGGAGGCAGCAGUGGGGAAUAUUGGGCAAUGGGGGGCCAACCCUGACCCAGCGACGCCGCGUGAGGGAAGACAGCCUUCGGGUUGUAAACCUCUGUUGCAGGGGAAGAAGAAAGUGACGGUACCCUGCGAGGAAGCUCCGGCAAACUACGUGCCAGCCGCCGC
rnacentral:rRNA from 1 species